GUUACUCGGAAUUACUGGGCUUAAAGCGUGCGCAGGCGGCUAUUUAAGCUUGCUGUGAAAGCCCCGGGCUUAACCUGGGAACUGCAGUGAGGACUGGAUGGCUGGAGUGUGGCAGAGGGGGGUGGAAUUCCACGUGUAGCAGUGAAAUGCGUAGAGAUGUGGAGGAACACCGAUGGCGAAGGCAGCCCCCUGGGCUAACACUGACGCUCAGGCACGAAAGCGUGGGGAGCAAGCAGG
rnacentral:rRNA from 1 species